ACCUGACCAUUUUGGGAGAUUAUAUUUUAUAUUAGGUUACUUGUUGACUCGAGUUCAUCCAUGCCUACUAGGUUGGUCAGACAUGAGGUAUAUUGACCCAAACUAUAUUAGUCAUUACAUCAGAUGUAUGUGACUAAUUAGAAAAGACCUGAAUCUAAAUCUUCUCACUAAAUAUUAAGUCUAUUGGUCUUCCACCAUUGUAGAGAUGCGGGUGUCUUUUUUGGUGUUGAUUGUUCUCAGCUAGUUACAAUGGUUCGAUUGCAUUGGGAAGGCACAACCACUCUAUUGGCAUUAGAUAUCCCAAGGUAAAGAUAGGAUUGGACCCAAUAACUAUUAAGUGAGGGACCCAAUGAUGGCUUUGUACUCGCUGGUGAACGGUGGAUCGGAUUUAACUAAGAAAUGUGCCAAUAACUAUUAGGUGAGGUCACAGGACUUAGAGACCAAGUUGCUACAACAUGCUUGGAGAAGUAUCUGGAUAAAGAGUUAUUCAUACAUUAAUAUACGUGUCAUCAAUAACUAUUAGAUGAG
rnacentral:lncRNA from 1 species